GCCCUCAUAGCUCAACGGAUAGAGCAUCUCCCUUCUAAGGAGGCGAUGGCAGUUCGAUUCCGCCUGGGGGCG
rnacentral:tRNA from 1 species